GAUGAACGCUGACAGAAUGCUUAACACAUGCGAGUCUACUUGAAUUUGGGUUUUUUAACUUAGAUUUGGGUGGCGGACGGGUGAGUAACGCGUAAAGAACUUGCCUCACAGUUAGGGACAACAUUUGGAAACGAAUGCUAAUACCUGAUAUUAUGAAUAUAUGGCAUCAUAUAAUUAUGAAAGCUAUAAGCGCUGUGAGAGAGCUUUGCGUCCCAUUAGCUAGUUGGAGAGGUAACGGCUCACCAAGGCGAUGAUGGGUAGCCGGCCUGAGAGGGUGAACGGCCACAAGGGGACUGAGACACGGCCCUUACUCCUACGGGAGGCAGCAGUGGGGAAUAUUGGACAAUGGACCAAGAGUCUGAUCCAGCAAUUCUGUGUGCACGAUGACGUUUUUCGGAAUGUAAAGUGCUUUCAGUUGGGAAGAAAAAAAUGACGGUACCAACAGAAGAAGUGACGGCUAAAUACGUG
rnacentral:rRNA from 1 species